GUAAUGUCUGGGAAACUGCCUGAUGGAGGGGGAUAACUACUGGAAACGGUGGCUAAUACCGCAUAACGUCGCAAGACCAAAGAGGGGGACCUUCGGGCCUCUUGCCAUCAGAUGUGCCCAGAUGGGAUUAGCUAGUUGGUGAGGUAACGGCUCACCAAGGCGACGAUCCCUAGCUGGUCUGAGAGGAUGACCAGCCACACUGGAACUGAGACACGGUCCAGACUCCUACGGGAGGCAGCAGUGGGGAAUAUUGCACAAUGGGCGCAAGCCUGAUGCAGCCAUGCCGCGUGUAUGAAGAAGGCCUUCGGGUUGUAAAGUACUUUCAGCGGGGAGGAAGGGAGUAAGGUUAAUAACCUUAUUCAUUGACGUUACCCGCAGAAGAAGCACCGGCUAACUCCGUGCCAGCAGCCGCGGUAAUACGGAGGGUGCAAGCGUUAAUCGGAAUUACUGGGCGUAAAGCGCACGCAGGCGGUCUGUCAAGUCGGAUGUGAAAUCCCCGGGCUCAACCUGGGAACUGCAUUCGAAACUGGCAGGCUUGAGUCUUGUAGAGGGGGGUAGAAUUCCAGGUGUAGCGGUGAAAUGCGUAGAGAUCUGGAGGAAUACCGGUGGCGAAGGCGGCCCCCUGGACAAAGACUGACGCUCAGGUGCGAAAGCGUGGGGAGCAAACAGGAUUAGAUACCCUGGUAGUCCACGCCGUAAACGAUGUCUACUUGGAGGUUGUGCCCUUGAGGCGUGGCUUCCGGAGCUAACGCGUUAAGUAGACCGCCUGGGGAGUACGGCCGCAAGGUUAAAACUCAAAUGAAUUGACGGGGGCCCGCACAAGCGGUGGAGCAUGUGGUUUAAUUCGAUGCAACGCGAAGAACCUUACCUGGUCUUGACAUCCACAGAACUUUCCAGAGAUGGAUUGGUGCCUUCGGGAACUGUGAGACAGGUGCUGCAUGGCUGUCGUCAGCUCGUGUUGUGAAAUGUUGGGUUAAGUCCCGCAACGAGCGCAACCCUUAUCCUUUGUUGCCAGCGGUCCGGCCGGGAACUCAAAGGAGACUGCCAGUGAUAAACUGGAGGAAGGUGGGGAUGACGUCAAGUCAUCAUGGCCCUUACGACCAGGGCUACACACGUGCUACAAUGGCGCAUACAAAGAGAAGCGACCUCGCGAGAGCAAGCGGACCUCAUAAAGUGCGUCGUAGUCCGGAUUGGAGUCUGCAACUCGACUCCAUGAAGUCGGAAUCGCUAGUAAUCGUGGAUCAGAAUGCCACGGUGAAUACGUUCCCGGGCCUUGUACACACCGCCCGUCACACCAUGGGAGUGGGUUGCAAAAGAAGUAGGUAGCUUAACCUUCGGGAGGGCGCUUACCACUUUGUGAUUCAUGACUGGGGUGAAGUCGUAACAAGGUAACCGUAGGGGAACCUGCGGUUGGAUCACCUCCUUACCUUAAAGAAGC
rnacentral:rRNA from 1 species